UAGCAUUUGCUCAAAAUAGAUUUAAUGUUC
rnacentral:piRNA from 1 species